GGGUGAGGUGAGGUUUCAGUGAGGUGGUUAGAGUCUGGGUGAGGUGAGGUUUCAGUGAGAUGGUUGGAGUCUGGGUGAGGUGAGGUUUCAGUGAGAUGGUUGGAGUCUGGGUGAGGUGAGGUUUCAGUGAGCUGGUUGGAGUCUGGGUGAGGUGAGGUUUCAGUGAGAUGGUUGGAGUCUGGGUGAGGUGAGGUUUCAGUGAGGUGGUUAGAGUCUGGGUGAGGUGAGGUUUCAGUGAGAUGGUUGGAGUCUGGGUGAGGUGAGGUUUCAGUGAGAUGGUUGGAGUCUGGGUGAGGUGAGGUUUCAGUGAGGUGGUUGGAGUCUGGGUGAGGUGAGGUUUCAGUGAGGUGGUUAGAGUCUGGGUGAGGUGAGGUUUCAGUGAGCUGGUUGGAGUCUGGGUGAGGUGAGGUUUCAGUGAGUUGGUUGGAGUCUGGGUGAGGUGAGGUUUCAGUGAGAUGGUUGGAGUCUGGGUGAGGUGAGGUUUCAGUGAGGUGGUUAGAGUCUGGGUGAGGUGAGGUUUCAGUGAGGUGGUUAGAGUCUGGGUGAGGUUUCACUGAGCCUCAGGGCUCAGCUUGGUAUUGGUUAUGAGGAAUCCUUGUGGUUUUGUCAGCCUGCUGUGAGUUAUAGGAGAGCACUGUGUUUUAUAAGGUGGGUUAUAGUUUGGUUAGACAGAGAGCCUGUGUCCCAAAUGGCACCCUAUUCCCUAUAUAGAGCACUACUUUCAACCAGAGCUUGAUUCUCUAUAUAGGACACUACGUUCAACCAGAGUCUUAUUCCCUAUAUAGGGCAC